rnacentral:rRNA from 1 species
UACGAAGGGGGCUAGCGUUGUUCGGAUUUACUGGGCGUAAAGCGCACGUAGGCGGCUUUCUAAGUCGGGGGUGAAAUCCUGGAGCUCAACUCCAGAACUGCCUUCGACUACUGGAGAGCUUGAGUCCGGGAGAGGUGAGUGGAACUGCGAGUGUAGAGGUGAAAUUCGUAGAUAUUCGCAAGAACACCAGUGGCGAAGGCGGCUCACUGGCCCGGUACUGACGCUGAGGUGCGAAAGCGUGGGGAGCAAACAGG